UGAGACCUUGAGUCUCCUGAAGGAACGUUGAAGACGACGACGUUGAUAGGUCGGGUGUGUAAGCGCAGCGAUGCGUUGAGCUAACCGAUACUAAUGAACCGUGAGGCUUAACCUUACAACGCCGAAGGUGUUU
rnacentral:rRNA from 1 species